rnacentral:rRNA from 1 species
AUGAGCGAGAUAUCAUCGUCGGCGGCGGCGGACGAGCGCGGGCUGGCGGGCGGCGGCAAGGGGCCGUCGACGGGGCCGGCGGCGUGGGAGACGUCCCCGGUGGAGGAGGUGCGGCUGACGGUGCCCGACGGCGACGACCCGACGCUGCCGGUGUGGACGUUCCGGAUGUGGGCCAUCGGGCUGCUGUCCUGCGCGCUCAUGAGCUUCCUCAACCAGUUCUUCUCCUACCGGACGGAGCCGCUGGUGGUGACCCAGAUCACGGUGCAGGUGGCGUCGCUGCCCGUGGGCCACUUCCUGGCCCGCGCGCUGCCCCGCCGCAAGUUCCACGUCGCCGGCCGGGAGUGGAGCCUCAACCCGGGGCCCUUCAGCAUGAAGGAGCACGUGCUCAUCUCCAUCUUCGCCAACGCCGGCUUCGCCUUCGGCAACGGCAACGCCUACUCGGUGAUGAUCGUGGACAUCAUCCGCGCCUUCUACCGCCGCUCCAUCUCCUUCCUCGCCGCAUGGAUCCUCAUCAUCACCACCCAGGUUCUUGGGUACGGGUGGGCGGGGCUGAUGCGCAAGUACGUGGUGGAGCCGGCGCACAUGUGGUGGCCCAGCACGCUCGUCCAGGUCUCGCUCUUCAGGACACUGCACGAGAAGGAGGAAUUUACCGGGGGCUCACGGCAGAUGUCCCGCUCCAAGUUCUUCCUGGUGGUGCUCAUCUGCAGCUUCGUGUGGGCCUUUGUGCCGGGCUACCUCUUCCAGUCACUCACCUCCAUCUCGUGGGUGUGCUGGGUCUUCUCCAAGUCCGUCACGGCGCAGCAGCUUGGCUCAGGCAUGAAGGGCCUGGGUCUCGGGGCUUUCACGCUCGACUGGACCGCCGUCUCCUCCUUCCUCUUCAGCCCGCUCAUCUCGCCCUUCUUCGCCACCGUCAACGUCCUCGUUGGCUACGUCUUGUUCAUUUAUGUGGUGAUGCCCACGGCGUAUUGGGGGAUGAACCUGUACAACGCCAAGACGUUCCCCAUAUUCUCCUCUCACCUCUUCGCCUCCAAUGGGUCGCCCUAUAAGAUCGCCGACAUUGUGAACCAGCAGUUCCAGCUUGACACGGAGGCGUACGACAAGCUCGGACGCAUAAACCUCAGCAUCUUUUUUGCAAUCUCAUAUGGCUUCAACUUUGCCACCAUUGCCGCAACCAUCACGCACGUCGGCUUCUUCUACGGCAAGGAGAUCUACCACCGGUUCCGAGCUUCACAGCAGGAGGAGCCUGACGUCCACACAAAGCUAAUGAGGAAGUACGAGGACAUACCAGCAUGGUGGUUCUACUCUGUGACGGCAUUGUCGAUGAUAGUGUCCCUCAUCCUCUGCACCGUCCUCAAGGACCAGGUUCAGCUCCCAUGGUGGGGCUUCCUCUUUGCCUGUGCCAUGGCCUUCACCUUCACGCUACCCGUAAGCAUCAUUUCUGCAACCACUAACCAGACGCCUGGUCUGAAUGUCAUCACUGAGUAUGUCAUGGGGCUAAUAAUGCCUGGAUACCCCAUCGCCAACGUCUGCUUCAAGGUGUACGGCUACAUCAGCAUGUCGCAGGCAAUCUCCUUCCUCGCAGACUUCAAGCUUGGACACUAUAUGAAGAUACCUCCCAAAUCAAUGUUCAUUGUUCAGUUUGUCGGUACAGUGGUGGCCGGGACUGUCAACCUCAUCGUCGGAUGGUGGCUACUUGGCUCGGUUGAGAACAUCUGCCAGGACCAACUGCUCCCACCAAACAGCCCAUGGACAUGCCCCAACGACCGUGUCUUCUUCGACGCAUCGGUCAUCUGGGGCCUUGUUGGCCCGAAUCGCAUUUUCGGGUCAAAUGGCAACUACAUAGCCCUCAACUGGUUCUUCCUCUUUGGCGCGGCAGGCCCUGUCAUCGUGUACAUCCUCCACAGGAUAUUCCCCACUCACAAGUGGAUACUACUCAUCAACAUUCCGGUGCUCACCGGCGCUACGGCCUUAAUGCCGCCAGCGUCGACCCUAAACUUCAACUCGUGGCUGCUCUACGGCAUCAUCUUCAACUUCUUUGUGUUCCGGUACCGCAAGAAGUGGUGGCAGAGGUACAACUACAUCCUCUCUGCUGGGCUCGAUGCGGGCGCCGCGUUCAUGGGGGUGCUGCUCUACUUCACGCUGACCAUGGAGAACCGGACAAUCAAGUGGUGGGGCACGGGCGGCGAGCACUGCCCUCUGGCCUCAUGCCCCACUGCUAAAGGGGUAGACCUGGGACCAGACAGUGUCUGCCCUGUGUUCUAA